rnacentral:lncRNA from 1 species
AUUUAAUCUAGAAGACCAGGGUGGGUGUUUAAUCUAGAAGACCAGGGUGUGAGUUUAAUCUAGAAGACCAGGGUGUAUGUUUUAAUCUAGAAGCCAGGGUGUUGUGUUAAAUUUAGAAGACCAGGGUGUGGUUAAUCUGUAAAAACAGGGUUGUGUUUAAUCUAAAGAGCAGGUGUGUUAAGCUAAAGACAGGUGUGUGUUUAAUCAGAAGAACCAGGAUUGAGUUUAAUCUAGAAGACCAGGGUGUGUUUUUAAUCUAUAAAACCAGGGUGUGUGUUUAAUCUAUAGGACCAGGGUGUGUGUUUAAUCUAGAAGACCAGGGGGUGUGUUUAAUCUGGAAGACCAGGGUGUGUGUUCAAUCUAGAAGACCAGGUUGUGUGUUUAAUCUGGAAGACCAAGGUGUGAGUUUAAUCUAGAAGA